UUUCAAAUAUACAGUAAACACUACCGAAUGUCUUCUGAAUAUGACGGAGGAGCGUCAGCUGUAACACAACUUAAGGCCUAUACUUGACCGACACAUAUUCUCCAGCGCACAAGACCAGCAAAGAAGACUACGUCAGAUAAGUAUGCUCACAUCCUUUGCUCUUCAACAGACUACGUGGAGCACAGAAGAGACUCCCCGCAGGCGGUGAGUUGAAUGGGCCCUGAUCAGAAGGCGGCCUACAGGGUUACCGUGUCCGACCGACUCUCCUGUCAUCUCUCAAAGAAUGAUCUCCACGACCCUGAGAUGGGCAGCAAUGUCAGUGCCCAUCAUAUAGGUCACAUCACCAUGUCUUAUUCUGGAUUAUAGGUCACAUCAUCAUGUCUUAUUCUGGAUUAUAGGUCACAUCAUCAUGUCUUAUUCUGGAUUAAAGGUCACAUCACCAUGUCCUAUACUGGAUUAAAGGUCACAUCACCAUGUCUUAUUCUGGAUUAAAGGUCACAUCACCAUG